GGCCAGACUCCUACGGGAGGCAGCAGUGGGGAAUAUUGGGCAAUGGGCGAAGGCCUGACCCAGCAACGCCGCGUGCAGGAUGAAGGCCUUCGGGUUGUAAACUGCUUUUAUAAGCGAGAAAUAUGAUGGUAACUUAUGAAUAAGGAUCGGCUAACUACGUGCCAGCAGCCGCGGUCAUACGUAGGAUCCGAGCAUUAUCCGGAGUGACUGGGUGUAAAGAGUUGCGUAGGUGGCAUAAUAAGUAGCUAGUGAAAUCUGGUGGCUCAACCAUUCAGACUAUUAGCUAAACUGUUAAGCUCGAGACCGUUAGGGGUAACUGGAAUUUCUAGUGUAGGAGUGAAAUCCGUAGAUAUUAGAAGGAACACCAAUAGCGUAGGCAGGUUGCUGGGACGGUUCUGACACUAAGGCACGAAAGCGUAGGGAGCAAACGGGAUUAGAUAUCCGCGUAAC
rnacentral:rRNA from 1 species